AGUAGAAUGGCUGAGAUUAAUAAGUGAUAAAUUGUAAAUUUAUUUAGGAGUAGAAUUUUACUCUUCUACUA
rnacentral:tRNA from 1 species